UUCUGAUAAUGGCCCAUCUAUGCUCAGUUUUGUGCAAGUAGUACCCAUGAUCUAGUGAUCCAAACCGUUGAUAUGAUAAGUCCCACUCUUGAUGGCUAGGCAAAAAAAUCUCCAUCAUGUAAUAAAGAAAGGGAAGGAGAUCACGUGAGGUGAGAAAGGCAGGAGGGGAAGAGAAAAGGGGGAAGGAGGAGUAAGUGCAUGGGGUCGUGGUCAUUUCUGCAACCCAGCUGUAGGGUCGGGCCUGCUGCCCCCUUUUGUCUUUAUCUCACCUUUCCCCCCGCCUUUUCUUCUCUCUCCCUAUCUCCCCUCUUUCUCUCCCCAUAUAUUCAUCAUUCCUUUCAUUCCUCUUCGCCUCUUCCCCUUGAAGGAAGCCGCGACUCUUGGGGGAGAGAGAGAGAGAGAGAGAGAGAGAGAUCGGGAAGCUUUUCCUUUUGAGGGGAAUGUUGUCUGGCUCGAGGUCACCACAUCCUCCUCCUAUGAUCUGAUCUGAUCUGAUCCAUUAAUCUAGGCAUAGAUAGACGGAUGGAACCAUGUUGGUGUCGUCGGACCAGGCUUCAUUCCCCCCAAUUUUCAGCUUCCUUGCAUGCCGUCCAUCUUCUUCAGAUCAACCCUUAUUUAUGUUACCAAGGUGGGCCUUUUCUUUUUCUUUAUUGGGUUUUUAUCUUCUCUAAAAUCUUGGUUUUUGAUAUUUACAUUCAGGCCUUCUUUUUUUGAUGACAGACCCUAAUCGGAAUCUAAAGGGGUGGAGGUUUUUAAAAAUGGGGUGUAAAUGUCAUUUUUGAGUUUAUUUGGUAGGAUUUUCUGUUGUUGGGUUUUGAGGGCAGUGUCCAGUAUCUUACCAGGAAAUUGCAGAUUGGUGUAAUGAUGUGGGUUUUGACUGUUUUUAUUUUUAAUUGUUUUUGUUGAAGUUCUGACGGAUAUGAAAAAGGCUUUCAUCAUUACCUCCUUUUCCCUCUAUUUCUCUUCCUUUUCUAAUCUUUGUUUUUGUCAGUCUCCUUAGGUAGACGGUUUCUUCAUGAUGCCUUCAUCAUAACUCUCUAUUAGGCAGACGGUUUAUUCAUGAUGCCUUCAUCAUCAUUUCUCUCUUGCAGAAAUCAGGUUUCAUAAAGAAUUUACGGGGAAGUAAUUUAUUACAUGCCAUGGUACUUUUGUAUGCUAAAGCUGCUUCUUUUCUUCUGCUGAUGCUUUUGUUGUUGUUGGUUUUUUUAGGGUUUUGAUGAAACCAUUUUAUUUGCUUUUUUCUCUCUUCAUUUUCAAUGUGCUAAUCUUCUUAUUUACAUUCUUAUUUUCUUUUUUGGUUUAAUUUUAAAUCUCUAGAUGCCUUCAUGCAUGGCUGAGGAUGAGAUUAGGUGGGGCUGAUGUUGCACUAAAUUUGGAAAAUGAUCGUUGUAGAAUCAAAUCUAUUGUGCUGAUUUCUUUAUUACAAUAUCCCUCUUUCUUUCUUUCUUCCCAUUCUCUCUCUCUCUUGUAGUGGUGACAUAUCAAAUCUAUUCUUCUUCUUUUUACUGUUUACAAUAGAAACCCACCAGUCUUGUAAAACCCUAUUUCCCAGAACACACAAUAUAAAAAGGAGAUGGUUUCCUCCCUACCUUCAUCCUACUACUACAAACCCUACUAGCCCUAAAACUGAAAUGGGUUUUUCUUUAUUUCUUAUUUCCACCUCCCCAUUGCAUUUUUUCUCACUGUAGAUUCUCUCCAAAACAGAUACAGAGAAAGCAGGUUGUUGGGAAAGAUGGUUGAGAGAGAGGAGAGAUAAGAGGACACGUGUGGUUGAUUUUCGUGCUGAUGUGAUGACACGUGAGAAGAGUUGAUGGAUGGAUGGGAUGGAAGAACUAGGUGUAGAUGGAUAGGGUUAGGGAUAUUUUCGUCCAAACACUGACAUCCACAAACGUCAUUUGAUCCGCACCUCAUUUUCACUCCCUCACUUCCAUUAAUGCUGCAUUCAUUGCCCUUUUGCAUUUUGGCCGCACCCCAUUUGUUCUGUUCAGCUCUUUCAAAUUUGAAAACUGGUUUCAAUCCGCAUCUGUCAGGUUAGCUCGUGUGUUUUGGGCUUUUUCUCUUCAAAAAAAACUGAUAUCUAUGGUCCUCUCCA